rnacentral:rRNA from 1 species
GGAGUUAGCCGGUGCUUCUUCUGUGAGUGAUGUCCUUCCUGCCGGCUAUUAACCCGCAGGCCUUCUUCCUCACUGAAAGUGCUUUACAACCCGAAGGCCUUCUUCACACACGCGGCAUGGCUGGAUCAGGGUUGCCCCCAUUGUCCAAUAUUCCCCACUGCUGCCUCCCGUAGGAGUCUGGGCCGUGUCUCAGUCCCAGUGUGGCUGAUCAUCCUCUCAGACCAGCUACGGAUCGUCGCCUUGGUGAGCCGUUACCUCACCAACCAGCUAAUCCGACAUAGGCUCAUCCGAUAGCGCGAGGCCCGAAGGUCCCCCGCUUUCCCCCGUAGGGCGUAUGCGGUAUUAGCCUGGGUUUCCCCAGGGUUAUCCCCCACUACCGGGCAGAUUCCUAUGCAUUACUCACCCGUCCGCCGCUCGCCACCAGGGAGCAAGCUCCCCGUGCUGCCGCUCGACUUGCAUGUGUUAGGCCUGCCGCCAGCGUUCAAUCUGAACCAAGAUCAAACUCUGA